CAGAUAAUCUAGAACCUUGUGAGCCACAUCCCAUUAAGUUGCAGUUUGUCCCUCCGGCCUGAAGGCGGAGCCUUUGAUUAGUUUCUGUUAUCUCUUCUUUGUUGGUGUGACACUUCCUGUUUGUGCCCUGGUUCGUCACCUUGAUCACCCACACCUGUGUUCAUACUUCAGGCACUGUUAUAAGUUACUUGGUUUUCCUGUACUUCGGUUUGUCUGUCUGUGAUAGUUUAGGCCUCAACUGGCCUUGACUUCUACACCUUUGGACCAACUGAGGACCCGGGCGCACGUGGACAGGCCCAUCAAUCACGCCGCCGAGCGCGGCCGGUCCCCGGCGAGCAGGGUGCGAUGUAGACACGACGUGUCAGAGCGUGAAAAGGCUGAGACGCGUCACUGUGACCGAGCACGUGGGUCUGAAC